AUUGAACGCUGGCGGCAUGCCUAACACAUGCAAGUCGAGCGGAUGAAGGGAGAUUGUUCCUGGCUUCCGCGGCGGACGGGCGAGUAAGUCCCAGGAAUCUGCCUUGCAUAGGGGGCUAACGUCAGGAAACGGGCGCUAAUGCCGCAUCCGUCCUGAGGGAGAACGGGGGGGAUCUUUGGAGCUCGCGGGAUCUGCUGAGCCUGGGACGGAUUAGCUAGUUGGUGGGGUAAGGGCGUACCAAGGCGACGAUCCGUAACUGGUCUGAGAGGGUGAUCAGCCACACUGGAACUGAGACACGGUCCAGACUCCUACGGGAGGCAGCAGUGGGGAAUAUUCGACAAUGGGCGAAAGCCUGAUCGAGCCAUGCCGCGUGAGUGAUGAAGGUCUUCGGAUCGUAAAGCUCUUUUAGUUGGGAAGAACAACUGUAUGAUUAACCCUUGCUGUCUUGACGGUACCUACUGAGAAAGCCACGGCUAACUACGUG
rnacentral:rRNA from 1 species